rnacentral:tRNA from 1 species
GGGGGUGUAGCUCAUUUGGUAGAGCGCUCGCUUCGCAUGCGAGAGGCACGGGGUUCAAUUCCCUGCACCUCCA